rnacentral:rRNA from 1 species
AACACAUGCAAGUCGAACGAGGUAGCAAUACCUAGUGGCAGACGGGUGAGUAACACGUGACCAACCUACCCUUUAGUGGGGGAUAACUAGCCGAAAGGUUAGCUAAUACCGCAUGAAACGUGCUGUGGCAUCACAGAACGUUAAAAGAAGCAAUUCGCUUAAGGACGGGUCGCGUCCCAUUAGCUAGUUGGUGGGGUAACGGCCUACCAAGGCACCGAUGGGUAGCUGGUUUGAGAGAGCGACCAGCCACACUGGGACUGAGAAACGGCCCAGACUCCUACGGGAGGCAGCAGUGAGGAAUUUUCCGCAAUGGGCGAAAGCCUGACGGAGCGACGCCGCGUGUGGGAAGAAGGCCUUCGGGUCGUAAACCACUGUCGAAGGGGACUAUACUGAAGGUACCCUUGGAGGAAGCCCCGGCUAACUACGUGC